GACGAACGCUGGCGGCGUGCUUAACACAUGCAAGUCGAACGGAAAGGCCCCUUUGGGGGUACUCGAGUGGCGAACGGGUGAGUAACACGUGAGUAACCUGCCCUUGACUUCGGGAUAACUUCAGGAAACUGGGGCUAAUACCGGAUAGGAAUCCUUGCUGCAUGGUGGGGGUUGGAAAGCUUCGGCGGUUUUGGAUGGACUCGCGGCUUAUCAGCUUGUUGGUGGGGUAGUGGCUUACCAAGGCUUUGACGGGUAGCCGGCCUGAGAGGGCGACCGGCCACAUUGGGACUGAGAUACGGCCCAGACUCCUACGGGAGGCAGCAGGGGGGAAUAUUGCACAAUGGGCGGAAGCCUGAUGCAGCAACGCCGCGUGCGGGAGGACGGCCUUCGGGUUGGAAACCGCUUUCAGCAGGGGCGAAGCUUGUGGUGACGGUACCUGCAGAAGAAGCACCGGCUAACUACGUG
rnacentral:rRNA from 1 species